rnacentral:rRNA from 1 species
CGAAGGGGGCUAGCGUUGCUCGGAAUUACUGGGCGUAAAGGGCUCGUAGGCGGCCAACUAAGUCGGACGUGAAAUCCCCAGGCUCAACCUGGGAACUGCGUCCGAUACUGGAUGGCUUGAAUUCGGGAGAGGGAUGCAGAAUUCCAGGUGUAGCGGUGAAAUGCGUAGAUAUCUGGAGGAAUACCGGUGGCGAAGGCGGCAUCCUGGACCGACAUUGACGCUGAUGAGCGAAAGCUAGGGGAGCAAACGGGAUUAGAUACCCCGGUAGUCCUAGCCCUAAACGAUGAAUGCUUGGUGUGGCGGGUAUCGAUCCCUGCCGUGCCGAAGCUAACGCAUUAAGCAUUCCGCCUGGGGAGUACGGUCGCAAGGCUG